rnacentral:rRNA from 1 species
ACUCAAAGGAAUAGACGGGAGCCCGCACAAGCAGUGGAGUAUGUGGUUUAAUUCGAUGCAACGCGAAGAACCUUACCAGGAUUUGACAUCCUAAGAAGGCCGGGUAAAGCUGGCUGUGCCCUUCGGGGAACUUAGAGACAGGUGGUGCAUGGUUGUCGUCAGCUCGUGUCGUGAGAUGUUGGGUUAAGUCCCGCAACGAGCGCAACCCUUACGGUUAGUUGCUACGCAAGAGCACUCUAGCCGGACUGCCGUUGACAAAACGGAGGAAGGUGGGGACGAUGUCAAAUCAUCAUGCCCCUUACGUUCUGGGCUACACACGUACUACAAUGGCGUAAACAAAGGGGAGCGAAGGAGCGAUCCGGAGCAAAUCUCAAAAAUACGCCUCAGUUCAGAUUGCAGGCUGAAACUCGCCUGCAUGAAGUCGGAAUUGCUAGUAAUCGCGAAUCAGCAUGUCGCGGUGAAUACGUUCCCGGGCUUUGUACACACCGCCCGU